rnacentral:rRNA from 2 species
GGGAUUAGAUACCCCACUAUGCACAGCCCUAAACUUUGAUAGAAUACUACACAACUAUCCGCCAGGGUACUACGAGCUUCAGCUUAAAAUCCAAAGGACUUGGCGGUGCUUUAGACCCACCUAGAGGAGCCUGUUCUAGAACCGACAACCCCCGUUCAACCUCACCCUCCCUUGUUUAACCCGCCUAUAUACCGCCGUCGUCAGCUUACCCCAUGAAGGACUUACAGUGAGCAAAACUAGUAUAACUCAAAACGCCAGGUCGAGGUGUAGCGCAUGAGAGGGGAAGAAAUGGGCUACAUUCCCUAAUUCAGGGCACACGAAAAAUAUAAUGAAAAACGUAUUAGAAGGAGGAUUUAGCAGUAAGAAAAAAAUAGAGAGUUUUACUGAAACUGGCCCUAAAGCGCGCACACACCGCCCGUCACCCCUUAA